GACGAACGCUGGCGGCGUGCCUAAUACAUGCAAGUCGAGCGAAUGGAGGAGAGCUUGCUCUCCGAAGUUAGCAGCGGACGGGUGAGUAACACGUGGGCAACCUGCCUAUAAGACUGGGAUAACUUCGGGAAACCGGAGCUAAUACCGGAUAGAUUCUUUCCUCUCAUGAGGAAAGAAGGAAAGAUGGUUUCGGCUAUCACUUAUAGAUGGGCCCGCGGCGCAUUAGCUAGUUGGUAAGGUAAUGGCUUACCAAGGCGAUGACGGGUAGGGACCUGAGAGGGUGGCCCCCA
rnacentral:rRNA from 1 species